GAGUUCCUGUUUUAACCCUCAAAGUGAAGUGUCGUCUCAUUAUUGGGGGAAGGAUUUAUUGUAUGCUGUUCCAGUUUGACUGCUAGGAGAGUAAACCUAUUCGUAUGGUUCCUAUUCAACUGUCUACAGCAUUCAUAUGCUUGGGAGAAUUUAUUUGUUUCUCCGGUUCGGUGGUUGUGGUGUCUGCUGCAGUGCUUGGAAUCCUCAGGAAGCGCUAGGAGCAUCCUUCAAUGGAG